AUUGAACGCUGGCGGCAGGCCUAACACAUGCAAGUCGAGCGGAUGAAGCGAGCUUGCUCCUGGAUUCAGCGGCGGACGGGUGAGUAAUGCCUAGGAAUCUGCCUGGUAGUGGGGGAUAACGUCCGGAAACGGGCGCUAAUACCGCAUACGUCCUGAGGGAGAAAGUGGGGGAUCUUCGGACCUCACGCUAUCAGAUGAGCCUAGGUCGGAUUAGCUAGUUGGUGGGGUAAAGGCCUACCAAGGCGACUAUCCGUAACUGGUCUGAGAGGAAGACCAUUCACACGGGAGCUAGGACACGGUCCAGACUCCUACAGAUAGCAACAGUGGGGAAUAAUGGACAAUGGGCGAAAACCUAAUCCAAGCAUGCCGCGUAAGUGAAGAAGGUCUUCAGAUUGUAGAGCACUUUAGGUUGGCAGGGAGGACAGUGAGUUAAUACCUAGGUGUUUUGACGGUACCGACAGAAUAAGCGCCGGCUAACUUCGUG
rnacentral:rRNA from 1 species